rnacentral:rRNA from 1 species
GAUGAACGCUAGCGGCAGGCCUAAUACAUGCAAGUCGAACGGGUGGUCGCAAGACCACUAGUGGCGCACGGGUGCGUAACGCGUAACCAACCUGCCCCGAUCUGGGGGAUAGCCCGCCGAAAGGCGGAUUAAUACCGCAUAUACCCGCAGCCUGGCAUCAGGCAACGGGGAAAGAUUUAUUGGAUCGGGAUGGGGUUGCGUGACAUUAGCUAGUUGGCGGGGUAAGGGCCCACCAAGGCGACGAUGUCUAGGGGACCUGAGAGGGUGAUCCCCCACACUGGCACUGAGAUACGGGCCAGACGCCUACGGGAGGCAGCAGUAGGGAAUAUUGGGCAAUGGGCGAGAGCCUGACCCAGCCAUGCCGCGUGCCGGAUGAAGGCCUUCUGGGUUGUAAACGGCUUUUCUCAGGGAAGAAAAAGACCUUGCGAGGUACACUGACGGUACCUGAGGAAUAAGCACCGACUAACUCCGUG